GAUAAAAAACAAUUCAAGGUCUGUUUGAUUAAAUGCGCAUAUACAUGGUAAUUUUCAUGCAGUAAGUUUAUCAUUUUAGAGAAUGAUGAGGGUAAAAAUGUUUUUCUCUAUUUUCAGGUAUGCAACAGGUGAACACAAGUUAUCUUCAGCCCUUUUUACCAAAUACCAGUUCUUGAGGGAAAAGACUGGCAGAGGAUGUGCUUAAAAACAAAUAAAAAAAAAGAAAGAUCACCUUUGAUUAAUGUUGAAGAAAAAAUGACAUUUGCUGCAGGUUCAGUAAAGUAAGAAAACAGAUCAUUUUGCCAGGAGUCCAUCAAAAAUAAUCGCAAUCAUUGUAGUGAUGGAGGAUCUAUCUGGUCAAGAUUUGUAUUAAAAGAGGUCAAGGUCAGUUGGGGUAAGAGUCACAGACAGAGUCUUGUGGCACAAACAUAAAUCAACGAGCGCUAAAGAAGAGCAGCUGGGGGAGAUAUUGUUACUGAGCUGGAUGAAGAAAAGCAAAUCUAUAUUGAUUUGGCACACAAAGGUGUCAGUGGUUGCUGCUGUCCUGCUGUUUCCACUUCUGUUAAAGCAGAGUCUGAGAUCUCUUUAUGUCAUCAGUGAGGAACCAGAUACACCCAACCCUGUGCUGUUUAUAAAGGGACAUGUCUUGGAUGCGGAGUCUCUUUAAGAAAUAAUGCUGGAAGUGGAGGAGGAGUUCUGUGAAGUAGACGAUGUAAACAC